rnacentral:lncRNA from 1 species
UGCUGAUCAAAGAGCAAUACAGUAAGUUAAAUAUAUUCAAUACUUGGAAUACGUAACUAUUUUAAUCUUAUACAAAUGAUAUUCGUUUGUUAUUCUGAACCUAUAAUAUGCAGAUGAAAUAUAACUUUAGGCUUCAUACAUUUGUAAUGCUAUCACUACUGUGGAUUCAUUAUUAUUCGUUCGAUACCAAUUUUCAUGGAUUUCAUGGAUACAGGGGAACCACGAAUUUAAAGGUUUAACGAAUUAAUUGUUUUUUUAAAGGAAUGCAGACUUUUCAGAAACAACGAAACAACGAAAUUAAAUAUCCACGAAUAUACAAGUUUUCCUCAAACCACGUACAUUGGUACCCACGAAUAUAAAUAUAUCCACAGUAUUGCAUAUUUGUCUAAAUUUCUAACAGGUAUUGUCUAUAUUUUUUUUAUACACAUGGAAGCUCUCUGUUUUUGUAAUUCAACAAAGUUGUUGCCUGAUUAAUAGUUUCAGAUUGGCCGUGGUUGUUUUUCAAUUUUCAUUUUAUCAAAAUCGAUACGUAUUUCAUCCAAACCUGUCAAGUUUACCAUUUUUGUUUUCAUUUUCAGUUUAAUAGAGUUACAAUGAGUCUUAAUAUUGUUCGAUCAACAGGAACAAGAUUCGUACAAAAUGG